CGGCGGACGGGUGAGUAACACGUGGGUAACCUACUAUAAGACUGGGACAACUUCGGGAAACCGGAGCUAAUACCGGAUAAUAUGUUGAACCGCAUGGUUCCAAUAGUGCAAAGAUGGUUUUGCUAUCACUUAUAGAUGGACCCGCGCCGUAUUAGCUAGUUGGUGAGGUAACGGCUCACCAAGGCAACGAUACGUAGCCGACCUGAGAGGGUGAUCGGCCACACUGGAACUGAGACACGGUCCAGACUCCUACGGGAGGCAGCAGUAGGGAAUCUUCCGCAAUGGGCGAAAGCCUGACGGAGCAACGCCGCGUGAGUGAUGAAGGUCUUAGGAUCGUAAAACUCUGUUAUUAGGGAAGAACAAACGUGUAAGUAACUGUGCACGUCUUGACGGUACCUAAUCAGAAAGCCACGGCUAACUACGUGCCAGCAGCCGCGGUAAUACGUAGGUGGCAAGCGUUAUCCGGAAUUAUUGGGCGUAAAGCGCGCGUAGGCGGUUUUUUAAGUCUGAUGUGAAAGCCCACGGCUCAACCUGGAGGGUCAUUGGAAACUGGAAAACUUGAGUGCAGAAGAGGAAAGUGGAAUUCCAUGUGUACGGUGAAAUGCGCAGAGAUUAUGGAGGAACACCAGUGGCGAAGGCGACUUUCUGGUCUGUAACUGACGCUGAUGUGCGAAAGCGUGGGGAUCAAACAGGAUUAGAUACCCUGGUAGUCCACGCCGUAAACGUAUGAGUGCUAAAGUGUUUAGGGGUUUCCGCCCCUUAGUGCUGCAGCUUUACGCAUAAGCACUC
rnacentral:rRNA from 1 species